UGUGUGUGUGUGUGUGUGUGUGUGUGUGUGUGUGUGUGUGUGUGUGUGUCAAUUUACGCAACCCCGAGUUGCCCCACGAGGACUUGGCAGCAAAUGAAGUACAAAAAUAUAGUUUAAACAGCAAAUCGAAAAAAUGCAGAGGCCCGGCAGACUGGAGGGGGUCCACCACCUGCAGCCCUCACAGAGGCUGAGGAGAUGGCCCUCAGCCAACAGAGUAUGCGUCCUGUGGCUGAGGGCAUCCCUGGGGGGAGCUCCUCUGAUCCCCCUACCCCCCAGGAUAGAAGUGCCUUUACAGUAUAAGAGGUUGGUUAUUCAAAAUAAUUAAAUAUGUACACGCAACCCAGCGUUGCAAAUUAGAUGGGGCAAUAUUCUGGCUCAAGUAAUAAUUGCACUGUCUAAUCAUCUUCUUCCAGUUACUGAUGGCGUCAUCGCCCUACUUGAACCAGAUGCCCUCACCAACCUCCAUGCAAUUGUAACAAUUCAAAAGAUACAAAAGGAUGCUUUGGAGAUCCAAAUUUUGGAACAUAAGUUAUAGGUGGGUGAGGUGCAAACUGGGAUAGGCUACUGUUCCCUGCU
ensembl:lncRNA